AUUGAACGCUGGCGGCAGGCCUAACACAUGCAAGUCGAACGAGUGGCGGACGGGUGAGUAAUGUCUGGGAAACUGCCUGAUGGAGGGGGAUAACUACUGGAAACGGUAGCUAAUACCGCAUACCAUCGGAUGUGCCCAGAUGGGAUUAGCUAGUAGGGGGGGUAACGGCUCACCUAGGCGACGAUCCCGAGAGGGUCUGCGAGGCUGACCAGCCACCCGGGAACUGAGACACGGUCCAGACUCCUACGGGAGGCAGCAGUGGGGAAUAUUGCACAAGGGGCGCAGCCUGAUGCAGCCAUGCCGCGUGUAUGAAGAAGGCCUUCGGGUUGUAAAGUACUUUCAGCGGGGAGGCGUUACCCGCAGAAGAAGCACCGGCUAACUCCGUGCCAGCAGCCGCGGUAAUAC
rnacentral:rRNA from 1 species